GAGCCAGGGGGCCGGGACGCUCUGUUCAUGGAGCGACCUAGGGGUACAGGGAGUGCCUCCGUGAUGGGCCAGGUUCGGUAAUGA
ncrna:Pseudomonas stutzeri DSM 10701 ivy-DE RNA